UUGCUUCAGCAGCACAUAUACUAAAAUUGGAACCAUACGGUGAAGAUUAGCAUGUCUCUGCGCAAGGAUGACAUGCAAAUUUGUGAAGUGCUCCAUAUAUAU